AACGAACGCUGGCGGCAUGCCUAACACAUGCAAGUCGAACGGGAUCCUAGCUUGCUAGGUGAGAGUGGCGGACGGGUGAGUAACACGUGGGAAUCUGCCUUUUGGUUCGGGAUAACCGCGGGAAACUGCGGCUAAUACCGAAUGCCCUCGAGAGAGGAAAGAUUUAUCGCCAGAAGAGGAGCCCGCGUCCGAUUAGGUAGUUGGUGGGGUAAAAGCCUACCAAGCCGACGAUCGGUAGCUGGUCUGAGAGGAUGAUCAGCCACACUGGGACUGAGAUACGGCCCAGACUCCUACGGAGCAGCAGUGGGGAAUAUUGGACAAUGGGGCAACCCUGAUCCAGCAAUGCCGCGUGAGUGAUGAA
rnacentral:rRNA from 1 species